GAAUUUUAUAUAAAUUUUGAUUAUAUUGUAAAUAAGUAAAAAUUAAAUUAAAAUUUAUAUUUAGUUGGGAGGAUUGUUAAAUUUAAAAAACUUUAAUAGUAAUAAAACAUUAAUUUAUGAUAUAUAAGAUUUAUAAGUGAUUAAGAUUGAAGAUAGUCUUAUGGAAGAAUUAAUUACCUUAGGGAUAACAGCGUAAUAUUUUUAAAAAGAUCUUAUUAAUAAAAAUGAUUGC
rnacentral:rRNA from 1 species